rnacentral:rRNA from 1 species
AGGGUUUGAUUAUGGCUCAGGAUGAACGCUAGCGGCAGGCCUAAUACAUGCAAGUCGAGGGGCAGCACGAGUACUUGUACUUGGUGGCGACCGGCGCACGGGGGCGUAACGCGCAACCUACCCUUAACUGGAGGAUAGCCCGAAGAAAUUCGGAUUAAUACUCCAUAGCAUCACCAGAUGGCAUCUGAAGGUGAUUAAAGAUUUAUUGGUUAAGGAUGGGCAUGCGUGACAUUAGCUAGUUGGUGAGGUAACGGCUCACCAAGGCAACGAUGUCUAGGGGUUCUGAGAGGAUGAUCCCCCACACUGGUACUGAGAUACGGACCAGACUCCUACGGGAGGCAGCAGUAGGGAAUAUUGGUCAAUGGAUGAGAGUCUGAACCAGCCAUGCCGCGUGCAGGAAGAAAGCCUUAUGGGUUGUAAACUGCUUUUGACAGGGAAGAAAACGGCUAUGCGUAGCUAACUGACGGUACCUGUAGAAUAAGCACCGGCUAACUCCGUGCCAGCAGGCCCGGUAAUACGGAGGGUGCAAGCGUUGUCCGGAUUUAUUGGGUUUAAAGGGUGCGUAGGUGGCUUUUUAAGUCAGUGGUGAAAUUUCAGGGCUCAACUUUGAAACUGCCAUUGAUACUGGAAAGCUUGAGUAUUGUUGAGGCAGGCGGAAUUUAUGAUGUAGCGGUGAAAUGCAUAGAUAUCAUAAAGAACCCCGAUAGCGAAGGCAGCUUGCUAAUCGAUAACUGACACUAAUGCACGAAAGCGUGGGUAGCGAACAGGAUUAGAUACCCUGGUAGUCCACGCUGUAAACGAUGUUCACUCGUUGUUGGCAAUACAUCGUCAGCGACUAAGCGAAAGUGAUAAGUGAACCACCUGGGGAGUACGAUCGCAAGGUUGAAACUCAAAGGAAUUGACGGGGGCCCGCACAAGCGGAGGAGCAUGUGGUUUAAUUCGAUGAUACGCGAGGAACCUUACCUGGGCUUAAAUGUAGGUUGCAUAGAUUGGAAGAGAUUUGAUUUUCUUCGGACAAUUUACAAGGUGCUGCAUGGUUGUCGUCAGCUCGUGCCGUGAGGUGUCGGGUUAAGUCCCAUAACGAGCGCAACCCUUACCGUUAGUUGCCAUCAGGUCAAGCUGGGGACUCUAGCGGAACUGCCUGCGCAAGCAGAGAGGAAGGUGGGGAUGACGUCAAAUCAGCACGGCCCUUACGUCCAGGGCUACACACGUGCCACAAUGGCCGGUACAGAGGGCAGCCACCUGGUGACAGGGAGCGAAUCUCAAAAGCCGGUCUCAGUUCGGAUCGAAGUCUGCAACCCGACUUCGUGAAGCUGGAAUCGCUAGUAAUCGCGCAUCAGCCAUGGCGCGGUGAAUACGUUCCCGGGCCUUGUACACACCGCCCGUCAAGCCAUGGAAGCUGGGGGUGCCUAAAGUUCGUAACCGCAAGGAGCGACCUAGGGCAAAACUGGUGACUGGGGCUAAGUCGUAACAAGGUAACC